CAGCAGCCACGGGAAUACGAGGGGGGCAAGCGUUGUUCGGAAUUAUUGGGCGUAAAGGGCGCGUAGGCGGUUUGGCAAGUUUCGUGUGAAAUCUUCGGGCUUAACUCGAAGUCUGCACGGAAAACUGCCGGGCUUGAGUAUGGGAGAGGUGAGUGGAAUUUCCGGUGUAGCGGUGAAAUGCGUAGAUAUCGGAAGGAACACCUGUGGCGAAAGCGGCUUACUGGACCAUUACUGACGCUGAGGCGCGAAAGCUAGGGGAGCAAACAGGAUUAGAUACCCGGGUAGUCCCUGUCUCUUAUAC
rnacentral:rRNA from 1 species